rnacentral:misc_RNA from 1 species
UUUCCGUAGGUGAACCUGCGGAAGGAUCAUUAAUGAGUUGUCAUGGGGUUCGAUGCUGGCAGCCAAUUUUUGGAUGCAUGUGCUUGCCCUAACAAUCAUCUUCCAAACACCUGUGCACAGUUUUGAGGGAGUCUUGAGUUGGUUGCCGCUCUUGGGUGAUUUUCUCACAUUCCCUUAAAUCAUUAUACGCUAUUAACUAUGUUGAACGUGCUCUGUGCCGCAAGGCUAUUAAUAUAAUACAACUUUUAACAACGGAUCUCUUGGCUCUC